AGCAAAGUGGAAAUCUGGUAUAAGCGGUCUAUCAUCGCAAAAUCAUUGUUUUGUGAAAGAAUCAGUCGACCUUUCAUAACCAUUUGCAAAGCUAAAACAAGCGUGUUGGUAUUGUAUCUUGUUUUGUAGUCAGUUGGUCUCAAUAAUCAGUAAGUAAAUAAGUGAAUCGAGAAACCAAUAAGUAAACCGAUGAGAGAGACUGUUGAGAUUCAUAAUUGUGACAUCAAUGCGGUAUAUCUGAGGUAGCUUUUCUUUUAUAAGAAUUAUUUUGACGUAAUGUCGAGUAAUUGCGUAAUUAAGAGAAUUUCAAAAUGAACUAGAGAUCUGAAUGAUGUAGACUUCGAUUGAGCUGAAAUAGAUUCAUUUUCUUAUUUGCGUCGGAUAAGUGCCUAUCAAAAUGACGCACAGAUGACAUUUCCUAUUAUGAAACUCGUAAUUGUUUGAAGAAAUCGGUUUUACCGUUUAGAAUUGCGUGUGGAGACGAACUGCUUUUUUAUCCAAUCGGCUUUAUGGGUGCAUUGAAACGACUUUUAACGACUUUUGUUUGAACCAAAACGACUCGAGAGGAGGAGGAACCACUAGGAACCACCUGGAACCACCUGGAGCCACCUGAAGCCUAAAUACGUCAGCUGCCGUCCAGGUGAAUUGCCAAUCAACACUCAUGGCAGGAGUCGACUACUGAAUUCGGUUAUGACGGGAUGGUCACUUUGUUGUUUAAAAGUAAUAAGUCAAAGCUGGAGAUACUAUUAAGCUUUCAGGAAAGCACGAAGUCUUGUAGAAAAAUUUAACUUCUGUAAAAGUGUUGGUGCAACUGUGAAACUGCUGUUUGAUUGUUAAAAGGGCCUUUGACCUCAGUAUAAGAAACUGCGAGCUGUAAGUAUCACGUUUCACAUGAGAUUGCAAGAAAACUUACGAAUUUGAUGUACUACUUUAAUAUCGGGUACUAUUCCUGCCUAACCAGCAAAGUCAGUUUUGAUUACUUAUUCCUUUAACUUAAUUUCUCUCGAAGGCUUUAGUUUAUGUUGACCUUUAGUUUUACGUAAUGAAGAGUGCAAAAUAUCUAUCAUUAGUACCAUUAAACACGAGUUGAGGAGAUAGUUAUAAGCAUCCAGUUCAAGUACUAACAUCCCAUUUUAACUUUAUAAUGAUUUAAGGGAGUUGGUCUUAAUAUCCAUUAAGCCAAAAAUCAUUCUAGACCUAUGGAGAAACUGAUUAGAACCUGUACAAGAAACUAUGGUUAUCGUGUUAGAGAUUUAAAAAAAAAAUUCUAUGGAUUAUUGCAUUAACAUUUAAAUCUAGGCAGUGCGAGUAAUACCUAGCCAUAUUGCUUUGGUCUCUAAGUUAAAAACUAAAAGUAAUGUAUGAAGUAUGAAAAGUAGAUAUGGUAAUUCUAAAAGCUAGUAUAGGAUUUACUAGCUUCCCA